rnacentral:lncRNA from 1 species
CUUCAAGUCAGGUCAUGCUGAGCUGUGCAUUCUUUACAAUCAGUGCAUGUCCUGUGACUCUGCUUUUGAGACAAGUAUAAUGCUUCAGUGCUUCCUCACAAAGCUACCUGUUUGACUUUUGCCAAUUACUGUCAAUUAUUUUAAUGUGGAGAUAGCAAAGGUCCAAGGAAGAAUUUUGCAAGUCUUCAGAAUAUGAGUCCAGUGAACUGAGGCUAUGGUGACUAAAAGGGAAACAGAGAAGAUUCCAGUGACUGACAAUAUUGACUCCAUAACCAAGAAGCUGGAACAAAUCUCCUUGCAUUGUCCUGGCCAGUUCAAUGUUCAAUCAUUGAAGACCCAUUUGAAAACCUCUUCUCAAUUUGGUAAUCUCAGACAGCAUUCUUUGACCAACUCUCACCAAGUAAUCCAAAUCCAAGGUUUGAAUGAUGCUCAUAGUUGCAUAAUUAACAAUAAACAGUCAGAGAAGACAAUGAUAAAAACUAAUCUUAAAACUCAUAUUUCAAAGAUGCCUGGAGUCCAAAUACCAAUUGGUGACCCACUGCCUUUUCCAGUCCCCAAACUUUCAGUAGGUCCUUUGUCAGAGAUAUCAACAGAAGAAUUCAAGAAAUCUGCCAUAAGAUCCAUAAGUGCUACCUCUUCUAUUGAGUCAGAGAAGAAAGAAGCAGCAGAAAAGUCUCAGAGAGAAACACAGACCUUCGAAGAAACUGGACAUUUCAAUCUACCUGUUGCCCAAGCCAUAACUCACCAGUUAUUCUAUUGUAUGUUUGGAAACAGUGCUAUAAAGAGUUGCAUCUACUGUCUCUCUCCAGGAUCAGCUAGUCUCAAGCAAAGCAUCAGUACAAGAGUAGCCAUCUUUUAUUUUCUGGCUAACAUACAAGCCACCAUCUAUGAUGUACUGUAGAUUUAGCUUUCUUUUGUGCGUAGAUGAUCUGGAAAGAUCAGAUUAAGUAGCGGGAGAAUAAGAAAUUAAGAUGGGUAUAUUAAGAAAUUGAAUCAGAUACAUACAAUUUAUUAAAUAUUACUGGGG